rnacentral:rRNA from 1 species
ACGAUGAAGAGUUUGAUCCUGGCUCAGGAUGAACGCUAGCGGCAGGCCUAACACAUGCAAGUCGAGGGGUAACAGGGAGAGCUUGCUUUCUGCUGACGACCGGCGCACGGGUGCGUAACGCGUAUACAAUCUGCCUAUCACUGAGGGAUAGCCCGAAGAAAUUUGGAUUAAUACCUCAUAGUAUUAUAGAAUCGCAUGGUUUUAUAAUUAAAGGUUACGGUGAUAGAUGAGUAUGCGUCCUAUUAGCUAGAUGGAGAGGUAAAGGCUCCCCAUGGCUACGAUAGGUAGGGGUCCUGAGAGGGAGAUCCCCCACACUGGUACUGAGACACGGACCAGACUCCUACGGGAGGCAGCAGUGAGGAAUAUUGGACAAUGGGCGCAAGCCUGAUCCAGCCAUGCCGCGUGUAGGAAGACGGCCCUAUGGGUUGUAAACUACUUUUAUACGGGAAGAAACCUAUCCUCGUGAGGAUAGCUGACGGUACCGUAAGAAUAAGCACCGGCUAACUCCGUGCCAGCAGCCGCGGUAAUACGGAGGGUGCAAGCGUUAUCCGGAAUCAUUGGGUUUAAAGGGUCCGUAGGCGGGCUAAUAAGUCAGUGGUGAAAUGCAGGGGCUCAACUCCGGCACUGCCAUUGAUACUGUUAGUCUUGAAUUAUUGUGAAGUGGUUAGAAUAUGUAGUGUAGCGGUGAAAUGCUUAGAUAUUACAUAGAAUACCGAUUGCGAAGGCAGAUCACUAACAAUAUAUUGACGCUGAUGGACGAAAGCGUGGGUAGCGAACAGGAUUAGAUACCCUGGUAGUCCACGCCGUAAACGAUGGUUACUAGCUGUUUGGACGAAUUGACGUCUGAGUGGCCAAGCGAAAGUGAUAAGUAACCCACCUGGGGAGUACGUUCGCAAGAAUGAAACUCAAAGGAAUUGACGGGGGCCCGCACAAGCGGUGGAGCAUGUGGUUUAAUUCGAUGAUACGCGAGGAACCUUACCAGGGCUUAAAUGUAGUAUGACAGAUUUGGAAACAGAUUUUUCUUCGGACAUAUUACAAGGUGCUGCAUGGUUGUCGUCAGCUCGUGCCGUGAGGUGUCAGGUUAAGUCCUAUAACGAGCGCAACCCCUAUUGCUAGUUGCCAGCGAGUCAUGUCGGGGACUCUAGCGAGACUGCCGGUGCAAACCGUGAGGAAGGUGGGGAUGACGUCAAAUCAUCACGGCCCUUACGUCCUGGGCCACACACGUGCUACAAUGGUAGGGACAGAGAGCAGCCACCACGCGAGUGGGAGCGAAUCUAUAAACCCUAUCACAGUUCGGAUCGUAGUCUGCAACUCGACUACGUGAAGCUGGAAUCGCUAGUAAUCGCAUAUCAGCCAUGAUGCGGUGAAUACGUUCCCGGGCCUUGUACACACCGCCCGUCAAGCCAUGGAAGCUGGGGGUACCUGAAGUCGGUGACCGCAAGGAGCUGCCUAGGGUAAAACCGGUAACUGGGGCUAAGUCGUAACAAGGUAGCCGUACCGGAAGGUGCGGCUGGAACACCUCCUUUCUGGA